rnacentral:rRNA from 1 species
CCCUUAGAUGUUCUGGGCCGCACGCGCGCUACACUGAUACGUUCAGCGAGUAUAUAACCUUGAUUGGAAAAUCUGGGUAAUCUUUUGAAUGCGUAUCGUGCUAGGGAUAGAUUAUUGCAAUUAUUAAUCUUGAACGAGGAAUUCCUAGUAAACGCAAGUCAUCAGCUUGCAUUGAUUACGUCCCUGCCCUUUGUACACACCGCCUGUCGCACAAACCGAUUGAAUGAUUCGGUGAAAAUUUUGGACAUCGAGAGAGGUGAUUAAUUUCGCUGCUCUUAAAUGGAAAGAAUUUAAACCUAAUUAUUUAGAGGAUUGUGAAGUCAUAACA